UUUUUCUUUCUUUUCUUUUUUUCCUGCCAGUGGGCUUCCAGCCAAUGACUAAGCAAGACAUGGAAGCUAGAGCCAGCCAUUUCUUCCUCAGUUGGGAAUCUUCCAUCUCACAAAUGUAUUCAACAAACAAAGCCACAGUUUCCUCAUGAUUUCCUCACUUGCUGAUCAAGUGGAAUUACGAUAGAAGAGACAAAGCAGAUGCCAGUAACUCAUAUUCACAGACUUGCCAGAAUCCUAUGGAGAGGAACUGUCAUCCGAGAAACUUGUACAGAUGGAAGAAAUGAAACUGAAAAAAGAGACACAAGCUACCAUACUAAUAAUGCCAAAACAAGU